rnacentral:lncRNA from 1 species
AUCAAAGCCAGGGCAGUAAUGGAGAGUUGGUAUUUCAGCAAAAUUUUCUGACCCAGAUAUAAGCCCUAAGAGCUGAAGGUUGGGGAUUUAACACCCACUGGGGUACAGGAAAUGUGGCCUCAAGCCCUUGCUAGGUAGGGAAAAUAGAACUAAGCUUCAGCAUAAAGCCAUGAGCCUUGAAAAGUUGCAUUGUCCGUGGGAUGGUGACUACAAAAACUCCACAUCUGAGUCCAGGAAAGAAGCAAGUAAGCUUGCCACCCAUCUAGAACCCCAGUUAAAAAAAAAAAAAAAAAAAGAAAAAGAAGCUGUGUCCAAAAAAUCAAAACCCCAGGUCUGGGCCACAUAUGGGCAUGGUAUCUAAAUGUAUACCAGUGAUAAGUUAGCAUAGAUUGCCUAAGUCUAUGAAACCCCUAGGAUAUAAUAGGGGAAAUUGUGAAACUGAAUUGUUGGGACAUUUUUACAAAUCAGGGCAUGAAGUACUCACACCCAGAAAUUUACCAUCAUAAGGAAGAUACUAAAUGCUUCAAAAGGAU